GCCUCCAUGGCGCAAUCCGCUAGCGCUUUCGGCUGUUAAUUGAAAGGUUGGUGAUAUCGAGCCCUCCUGGGGGCG